GUGGUACAGUUGUUUUAAUACAAUACCAAAAGUUUUUUUGUUGUAUUUAUAUACUUUUCUGUUUUUUAGGUCUAACACUAUAUUUAUCUCAUUCGCAUGCAUCGCAUGAUUUUGAUAUGAUUGACACCAUUUCCAGGGGACAUGGCUGAUGCAGUAGAAAAUUUUUCGGAGGAAAGGAGAGGAAUUACAGAAACUUACAAAGUGAUAGAAAAUGCGAUUGCUAAAGAUAUACUGGUGCCACCAGGUUUUAUGAAUCAUUUGAAUCACGCUUCCACCUGUUUGUUACAGUGUAAUCCUCCCUGUGACACUCCAAAGUUAAACCAAUUGAUUGAAAUGCACUUGGAAAAUUUUAGGAGAAAUGUGAGGAGUCCUUCUACAAAGGUUGUUCUGAGCGCUUUGCUAUUACACGCCUUUGGGUGUGAGCAGGAACACUGUAAUACCUUAUACUGCCAAGAAAUUCGAGACAUAUAUUCUGAAAACUCUGAAUGGACACGUUCUGAGUGUUGUGGCAUUGUCAGAUUUUCAGAUUCGUGUUGGUUUGACUUGAAAGAGCAAGUGAACAUUUGUACUGACUACCAUAUUUUCUUUCAAGGUUCUCUUGGAAAGGGAACUAAUGGAGAUGUAUAUUACCAGUGGCUCGGGAAAUUUGGUGAAGCUGCUGUUGCCGUUAAAUUGGCAAGGUAUAACUGUCAAAAAGAGACAGAAAUAGCAACAAUAUUUGGCUCUCACCCACACUUGCUCACAUCACAGUUAAUACUGGAAGACUCAAGUAAUAAUAAUUUUAGCAUGCUGUUUAUGGAGAAAGGAGAUUGUACAUUGUUUGACUACAUCAUGGCUUACAACAACUUACAUGGCUCCUACUUGACAAUAGAAAUUGCUUUUAUUUUUAUCAGACAACUAUUAGUAGCUUUGAAAACAUUGCACAAAAAUGAAAUUAUUCAUGGUGACAUAAAAGCUAAAAAUAUUGUGCUUGUUAACAACAUGCAACAAGUGAAGUUAAUUGAUUUUGAUGGGUUUAAAUUUGUUAAUUCAACUGAUCCGAUAUCUUGUACUUAUGGUUACGCUGCACCAGAGGUAGUUGCAGAACCCAUUGCGGUAAAUUGUGUCGCAGAUAUAUUUUCCCUUGGUAUGACAAUUGCAGAGAUGUUUCUUGGUGAUAUGGCUAUUAGACGAUGCUCUAAUUAUUUGGAAGAAAUUGGACGGAGGCGUGAAAAAAUCAUCAUUGGUUUGUACAAGAUAGAUCAACAGAUUGCAUGUUUUGUGCAAAUGUGUUUAGACGUAAGCUCUUUAUAUAACUAUGAACCCUUCUUCACGACCAUCGGCUAGAAAAUUGUUAUCAGAAUUUAAAGAAAAUGGAAGAUUUUAUGAAGUGUAUAGGCGUUGUGGUAAUGUACCAAUUGUUCCAUUACCAGUUCCAAAUGACGCUUCAGAAAUAAAGAGGUUUCUAACACAUAGAAUUACUUCAUAUAUGGAUGAAAACCUCCCGAAACGUCUACCCGAGAGACAUCAAGCUGUUCUUGCAAGGGACAUUUUAAAUACAGAGGAAGAAAUGCUGGUUGAUUGACAUAACAUGAUAUAAGUGACACGAGGAUAGUUGUAAGGGGAUACAAGAGCCGUGACGUCAUAAGAUAUAAUGCUGUGACAAGGUGGAAGAUUCAUUCAGUUAUUUAGUGUACCAAAUAACAUACAAUGCAUCACAAGAUGUAAAAAUGCUAUAAAAUUUCAUAAUGGCGGAUAAGUUGUGAUACCAUGCUAUGGUCUGCCAUAUAGUAAUAAGUGACAUGUUUUGACCUGCCAUAUAGUGGUGCAAUUCGUGACUGGAUGCUGAAAUGUUAUACUUGUGUUAAUUGUCACUGGUUACCGAUUGCCAAACAGAGCAGGUGUUUAUAAGGAACACCAGACUGUUACGUACUGGUCACUCUCAUGCGCUUUUUUUAGCCUUAAAUAGAAUAAUAUGGUUUGGUUUUGCCUGCUGUUUUGCUACAUUAGCAAAGAAAAACAAAUUGGAUUGAAUUUGUCUUUUUACAAUUUGUCUUUUAAUGUUGUUUUAUAAAGAUGUUUUUAUUAUGUUGUUUUAUAAGGAUGUUUUUAAUGUUGUUUUAAAUGUAAUUUAAUAUGGUGAUAAUUGAAAAUAGAUUAUUUUAUAUUUCUUUUGUUUCAUUGAAGCUGUUUUUUUAGGCAGAAACUUAUAAAAAAACAAAGUUUUCAAUUUAUUUGUACCAUUAAAAAG